CACGUAGGGGGCAAGCGUUGUCCGGAUUUAUUGGGCGUAAAGAGCUCGUAGGCGGCUUGGUAAGUCAGGUGUGAAACCUCCAGGCUCAACCUGGAGACGCCACUUGAUACUGCCAUAGCUAGAGUCCGGUAGGGGAGCGUGGAAUUUCUGGUGUAGCGGUGAAAUGCGCAGAUAUCAGGAGGAACACCGAUGGCGAAGGCAGCUCGCUGGGACGGUACUGACGCUGAGGCGCGAAAGCGUGGGGAGCAAACAGG
rnacentral:rRNA from 1 species